CCUGGCAGGAGUCUCAUUCGUGCCUGAUUUAUUUCCUUUGCAAUGGUGACCGAUACCUUUCGUAUUAGAUUUAUAUUUUAUAAAAAACAUCAAGUUUUCAGUUGAUGGAAAUUUUAACUUUUUUGUGACGUUGAGGAGGAGCGAAAAUGCACUGAAAGAGCUACUGAAAGAAUUUGAUUUAAAAGGGGAGCGCGUGUGGCGCGUGCGGCGGGUGCAGGCUGCAGGCUGCGCGGGCGCCGCCGCGCCGGCGGGGUGGCGCGCUAGCAUAAAGUGGCCCCCGCACCUCGCGGCCUCCAGUUCAAGCUGAGACCCGCGAACGCCAACACGCUUUCGCGACGCCCACUCUCGCAGCGCACCGCCGAGGCACAACACGCGAUAGUGUUCACUUGUGAACGAGUUGCGCGCCCUUUCUCUCACGCAGUGUGAUCGUGCUUCGGUACGUGAAUGCAAAACCGGACUACUCUCUUGACACGAGACACCUACAAGGAAUCCGCAGCGGUGUGGACCUCUGAAAUAUAUCGACAGUCGCCGAGGACUGGCCUGCCACUCGCCCGGACCCCGCCACUGGCCCGCGGGGACUCAUCGACGUCGCGAUAACAACAAACACGUAGUAUGUAUAUUUUAAGACUAAAUCUAAUUUUGUUAUUUAUUUUUAAUGUACUCUAUUUUGUUUUUUUUUUGUUACGGCCUGUCUUUGGUUUUAACAACUAAUAUAAACUCUUUAUAUGUAUUAGUCUUAUAUUGAAACUUUCUCGUGCUGUGCAAGUACACACACGGUGGUACAGACGUUAAUGUUCAUUUUUUAAUAUACAUCAACCGCUCAACAGUACGGUUUGUGGGUUAUGUUUUUGCUAGCGUUUAUUAAUUUCUUUGUAGAGUCGAAUGCGGAAUGUUUACCGGGUUAAUCGUCAAAAUAAUUUACAAGAAACUGUGUACUCAAAUUAAUUAAUGUUGACUUGAACUUCAAUCAAUGUACAUUAUCUAUCCGGUAGUUGCGUGUCAACAAGCCGCCGCGCGCCGGUACUUAUCCAACUGUGGACCGACUUUGUAGAGUUCUUGCUUUAAACAUAUAAGUACCUAGUAUAAGUCUCAAAUAAACUUUGCGGGCGGUGACAGCGACCUUGUGAUUUUUCAGCUUCACGCUUCAUUUGUGCCGAACGGAGUCUAAACGACAAAUAUUAAAAUGCUAGCUUGCUACGUGUCCGUGCAACAAGAUUUUCUAAUUCGUAGAGUCCGUUCACACGGCACUGCCACAACUUAUCUACUAUUCCGUUUUACUUACACGGCCUUAGUAACGGAGCUAUGCAAAUCAGGCGAUGGACUACGAAUCAAUUGUUAUUAUCGUUGUACUAAUUAGUGGGUAAUCCUAUGCUCAUGUUAAAGGUGUCAUGGUGACAUGUGCCAUUGAAAUUCGUGUGACUUUGAACAGUUUGAAUGGAAUAUUUGUGUUCAACUGACGAAGUUAGCUGAUGAUUUGGUUCUGUGUAUACUUUGCGUUGUAUUUGUAUUAUAGGCUGUUGGGAAAGUUAGUUCAGGGUUAGUAUCUAUUCGAGCAUGAUUCAGUUGUUCGAGAAUCACUUCGAUUUUAGAUUGAAUCUUUGUCUGUAUGAAACAAUUUUAUUUUCAAGUUGAUUUGAUUGGGGAUAUGUCAAGUAGUCCAGUGAAUGAUAUUGAAUGGAUUGAGGAACAAUUCUGCAAUGUUGACGCAGCUGCUUCAUACAGAGCUAGGAUAAAAUCAAGCUACAUUAUAACUUGCUCUUAAUAUUAUAAAAACAAUUGUGUCAGAGUGUCGUCAAAUUUGCAGUAAUAUGAAUCACGCUGUAUUUUAUUGAAACAUCUUUAUCAUUUUGAUUAUUAUCACAGCUGUUUUGCAUUGCAUUCAAAAUGUUUAGAUAGUGAUUCAUGUUUUUUAUAACCCUGUGUUUACCUGAAGCCUUCGGUAGGGCUUAGAUAAUAGUGCGUUACUCAUGUUAAAACAAUACGAUGACAUAUAGUUAAGGAUUUAAAUGUAACUCAUCCUUACAGUUUUUCAUAGCAUAUCAACUAACAACGGGUUUUCCAAAUUUAUAGUGACUUUCUGUGAUUCAUUUUUGUAAUAUAUUUCUUUUUCGAGACACAGGAAAACGAGUAUACUUAGUUAAAAAUAUAGGUAUUAGAAAUUAGGAUUAAACGGUCACAAAUUAAAUUCUCAUUGCGCCAUUUAAAUGUAGUUUAUUUUUCGAACCGGAACGAUUUUUAAAACAAAAAAGAAAUGUCUGGGUUUGUCACACAAUUUCAUGAAUUAUGAAUACUGGCAGUGCAUACAAAGAUGCAAUUUCAAAACAAGUUUUAGAAGGAAAUUUUAUUUCGUCCAUAAAUAAAACAUUUGACAGUUUUAGUAAUGCAGACGAUUUAUUCACGGAUUUUCAAAAGACUCUUUAUCUUUUAUGUUUACUCUAAGAAAGAAUGUUAAAUGUCACCUGUCUGUUCAAUUUUAUGUUAAACUGUAACCUCUUUCAACCUCGAACAUUAAGACUAGCGUAAAAUAUAAUUAAAAUGGAAACUUUAGAAACAAAACGUGAAAAAAAAUACAUAGAAUUGAUGCAUACUGUAAUUAAAAACUGCUUCAACACAUUAGUAGUCAUUUUCCUACAUUGUUUUAAGGACACUGUAUAAUUCUCAUGGGAUGUGAUGAGACGUCAUAAUUUUCUCGUUAGCGCUGUGACAUUGUAUUUUUAUUCUUGAGGCCAGAAUGUACAGUAUCUUGUCAUUCAGCCACCGUUUAAAAAAUAGUAAGAAAACCUUACCUACUCUGUUUGUCUACCGAUAAAGGUAAUAAUACGAAUUCUUUAAGUUAUUUUCUUUUCUGAAUGUCAAAAGGCAGCUCUAUCGUGCUUCGAAGAAACAUAAGUACUUAUUUAAUGUCUUUGUUGUUAAUUAUGACGUCAAGAAAGUGGAGUAGGACAUCUAGGAAGCUCCAACAAGUUAUCCUCGUCAGAAAUGUAUAGAAAAAAUGUUUAAGAUAUACUUCUAGUAUACCGGUUAUUCUCUAUUGAUUGCGCACUUCGAUUGCGUAAAUGCGCUUUUUACAUACCGCGCUAUAGCAGUAUUGGCUGUAUGCUUGAUGCCUUUGCCAUAAAUUAUCUAUUUGUUUUUGAGUAAAGAACAUUUUUAUUUUCUAUUC